rnacentral:rRNA from 1 species
UGGGGAAUCUUGCACAAUGGGGGAAACCCUGAUGCAGCGACGCCGCGUGAACGAUGAAGCCCUUCGGGGUGUAAAGUUCUUUCGACAGGAACGAUAAUGACGGUACCUGGAGAAGAAGCUGCGGCUAACUACGUGCCAGCAGCCGCGGUAAUACGUAGGCAGCGAGCGUUGUUCGGAGUUACUGGGCGUAAAGAGUGCGUAGGCGGCGAGCCAAGUUUGGUGUGAAAUCUCCCGGCUUAACCGGGAGGGUGCGCCGAAAACUGGUUGGCUGGAGUAUGGGAGAGGAAAGCGGAAUUCCUGGUGUAGCGGUGAAAUGCGUAGAUAUCAGGAGGAACACCUGCGGUGUAGACAACUUUCUGGACCAAAACUGACGCUGAGGCACGAAAGCGUGGGUAGCAAACA